UUCAAGAGCUCGUGUUGGCAGUGCCGAUUAUGCAGACUUACUGAAAAUAUCAGAAACUGUUCUGCCUUUUAUGUUCAAACCAGAGUCAGACAAUGAUGGAGAGAUUCAAGAAGAAGUGACAACAUGUACAAUGCAACAGGACGUUUCUGAAUGAAUGCAGAGUCAUGCGGGAGAAGCUGCAGAAGAUGUGAGAUGUGAUCAAGGGCGAUAGUCAACGAGAAAAUAAGGAAAAGGCAUGGAACAAGACAAGUUCUGUGUGAAGCGUGAACAGCAUAGUGCUUGACAUUUGUGAUUGUUCUGUGUUCUGGGUCUCAUGGUUAGUCAGCAAAGAUGACACAGACUGCAGUAAUUUCCCCAAGCCUGUAGAAAUCCAGUUGAUUCAUUCACCCCGCUGACCCUGGUCUAUCAUCUCAACAAAGAAGAGGAGUGUUAGGAAUGAAAGUGCUCAGACUGCAGAUUAAACUUAACCUUUUAUGUUUCCCUUCUUAAAACCCUGGAUCUGUGUCUAGGAGGCUUUUCUGCUGGAAAACGUAGUCAUUCUGGACUUUCCCUUUCCCCCUGUGAACCACAUUUUAUAGCCUCAGGCAGAGAUCUGUAACCUAAAUGAGAAAUGCAUUUGAAAAUAUCCACUGUGACAAUCACAGCCACAUUUUAGUAUUUUUUUUCCCUUAUUGUUUUCAGACUGAUAAAAUAAAGAAUGGAGAUGGGAAAUUACCAACAGGACAUUAUAUAAUAUGUAGGUGUGAGGUUAACAUAGGCUACUGUAGAGCAUGCAUAUGUGCAUGUGUAUAUGAGAACUGUGAUUAAUGCAUUCACUCAUUUGCUAUCAUUAGUAGUGUUUUAGAUUUUGAUAAGAAUGAUUAUCCUUUAGCCUACUGCAUUAAAGGUGCC